rnacentral:rRNA from 1 species
GUGGAUUAGAUACCCUGGUAGUCCCAGCCGUAAACCAUGGGCGCUAGACGUCGUCCGUAAGGGCGGUGUCUCAGCUAACGCGUUAAGCGCCCCGCCUGGGGAGUACGGGCGCAAGCCUGAAACUCAAAGGAAUUGGCGGGGGCCCGCACAACCGGUGGAGCGUCUGGUUCAAUUCGAUGCUAACCGAAAAACCUUACCCGGGCUUGACAUGAUGGGAAACCUCUGCGAAAGCGGAGGGUGCCGUCCUCUGGACGGAAUCCCAUCACAGGUGGUGCACGGCUGUCGUCAACU